rnacentral:rRNA from 1 species
GAUGAACGCUGGCGGCGUGCCUAACACAUGCAAGUCGAACGGAGUCCGGCCUUUAGGGCCUUCGGGUCAAAGAGGGGAAGACUGAGGGGCGAUCGGUUGGUUAACACGUGUGCAACCUGGCUCAUACAGGGGGAUAACAGAGAGAUAUUUCUUCUAAUACUCCAUAAGCACAGACUGCUGCAUGGCGGUUGUUGAAAGGCGAAUCGCUAUGAGAUGGACCCGCGUCUGAUUAGCCGGUUGGCAGGGUAAGGGCCUACCAGAGCGACGAGCAGUAGCCGAUCAGUGAGGAUGAGCGGCCACCUUGGGACUGAGACACGGCACAAACUGCUACGGGUGGCAGCAGUGGGGGAUAUUGCACAAGGGGGGGAACCCUGAUGAAGCGACGCCGCGUGAGUGAAGACGUAUUUCGGUAUGUAAAGCUCUAUGAGCAGGGAAGAUAAUGACAGUACCUGAAGAAGAAGCCCCGGCUAACUACGUG